UACAGAGGUCCCAAGCGUUGUUCGGAUUCAUUGGGCGUAAAGGGUGCGUAGGCGGCGCGGGAAGUCGGGUGUGAAAUCUCGGAGCUUAACUCCGAAACUGCAUUCGAUACUGCCGUGCUUGAGGACUGGAGAGGAGACUGGAAUUUACGGUGUAGCGGUGAAAUGCGCAGAUAUCAGGAGGAACACCGAUGGCGAAGGCAGGAUCUC
rnacentral:rRNA from 1 species